AUUGAACGCUGGCGGAAUGCUUUACACAUGCAAGUCGAACGGCAGCACGGACUUCGGUCUGGUGGCGAGUGGCGAACGGGUGAGCAAUGUAUCGGAACGUGCCCAGUCGUGGGGGAUAACGUAGUGAAAAUUACGCUAAUACCGCAUACGAUCUAUGGAUGAAAGCGGGGGAUCGCAAGACCUCGCGCGAUUGGAGCGGCCGAUAUCAGAUUAGGUAGUUGGUGGGGUAAAGGACCACCAAGCCAACGAUCUGUAGCUGGUCUGAGAGGACGACCAGCCACACUGGAACUGCGAAACGGUCCAGACUCCUACGGGAGGCAGCAGUGGGGAAUUUUGGACAAUGGGCGAAAGCCUGAUCCAGCCAUUCCGCGUGCAGGAUGAAGGCCCUCGGGUUGUAAACUGCUUUUGUACAGAACGAAAAGGUUUCUACUAAUACUAGGAGCUCAUGACGGUACUGUAAGAAUAAGCACCGGCUAACUACGUGCCAGCCGCCGCCGUAA
rnacentral:rRNA from 1 species